rnacentral:rRNA from 1 species
UACGAAGGGGGCUAGCGUUGCUCGGAAUGACUGGGCGUAAAGCGUGCGCAGGCGGUUGUGCAAGACCGAUGUGAAAUCCCCGGGCUUAACCUGGGUAUGGCAUUGGUGACUGCACGGCUAGAGUGUGUCAGAGGGGGGUAGAAUUCCUCGUGUAGCAGUGAAAUGCGUAGAGAUGUGGAGGAAUACCGAUGGCGAAGGCAGCCCCCUGGGAUAACACUGACGCUCAUGCACGAAAGCGUGGGGAGCAAACAGG